rnacentral:rRNA from 1 species
UACGAAGGGUGCAAGCGUUACUCGGAAUUACUGGGCGUAAAGGGUGCGUAGGUGGUUCUUUAAGUCUGCUGUGAAAGCUCCGGGCUCAACCUGGGAAUGGCAGUGGAUACUGGAGAGCUAGAGUGCGGUAGAGGGUAGUGGAAUUCCCGGUGUAGCAGUGAAAUGCGUAGAGAUCGGGAGGAACACCAGUGGCGAAGGCGGCUACCUGGACCAGCACUGACACUGAAGCACGAAAGCGUGGGGAGCAAACAGG